UUUUUAAGACAGAAAUUGUCUAGUGGAAUACACUGAUGACUGCAAGAAUGAUGGAGGCUCCAUGAACCACAGUGUGACUAAGAAAACAUGAGUUGAAGCACUUUGGAGUGUGUCAAUGAGAGUGUGGAAACACACAGGGGAGUGUGUUCUGAGCGUCCAUAACCUGCACAAAUGGUGAGAUAAUACAAACAGAGGAGACAACACCUUCUGGAUCACCCAGGGACCAGGACAACUACAUCAAGAAAAGGCUUGACAACUACAUCAAGAAAAGGCUUCACAACUCUACUCACAGUAGAUGGACUUGUUCUCUGUAUGGUGUUCCAUACUGCUUCACAAAACCUAGGAAGCAUAAAUCUGCCAGAUAUCUUGUUUGAUUCCCCACAGUGUCUUCUGAUGCAUACCUCAGAAAAUCAGGGGGUGCAGUGAUGUGAGCAGGACAGAAGAAGUUGAUGGAGCAAUAAUGCAUACAGCAAGCCUUUCGUGUAUUUCAAUAAUGUUCUGUAACUCUGCCCUCUGUAGAUCUCUAUAUAAGGCUGCUCCCAUUUCAACUCAGGGCUCAGAAUUCAGAGUGGAUAAAUGCCUCUGAGCCAACCAGCAAUAAAAGUUUUCUCCAUCUCUUCUAAUAACUUUCAGAUUUUGAAUUUUCUAAUUGCUGGCGUGAUAGCACUUGAGCUGUAGUACUUGAGUUGUAACACAGAGCUAUAACACUUGGCUGUAACACUGAGCUGUUCUGUUUUGCCACACCAUCUUAUACUUCUGUCUAGUUCUGAAUUUGCCUCUGAAUCUAAGCUAGUUUGUGAUAACCACACAACCAGUGUGCCUGUAACAUAAUUUGUGUGUAACCAUAUAGUGUAAUAACCAUCCAGCCUGCAUGCCAAAAAACUCUUGUGAACCCAUUUGAUAAACAUAAAAAUUUGUUUUCCUCGGGCAGAGAAGCUCAGCUGAUCCCAGCACCCGGAAGGAAGCUCCCUGCCUCCAUCCCAGGCUCCUAGGGCAGAGAAGGUGAGCUGGUCCCAGCACCCGGAAGGAAGCUCCUUGCCUCCAUCCCAGGCUCCUAGGGCAGAGAAGCUCAGCUGGUCCCAGCACCUGGAAGGAAGCUCCCCCACCGCCAUCUCAAGCUCCUAGGGCAGAGAAGGUGAGUUGCGUGGGCGCCAGAAGCACACCCCACACCCCCGCCGUGGAAAUGAGAAGACACAUAAACAAACCUCAAAAACAGACUUCCAGAUCACCUACAGCAACCCCAAAGGGAAACAAGAUGGAACAAUCUGAUACUCAACCACCUGGACUCUCUGAACUGGCAACAACAGAGGAUCUGGGAAAAAUGAAAUCAGAAAUAAUUACUCAGAUAACAGCAAAGAUUUUGCUCGUGGUGCAAGCCAUGAGUAAUAAAUCUAGAGAGGACACAGAUAAAAAAACAGAGGAUCUGAGGAACAUGAUGGAAUCCCAACAUAGGAAACAAAUGGAAUCCAUAAAACAGAUACAAACAGAUUUCCAAGAGAUUAAAAACUCCAUCAAAAGUCUACGCAGCAGAAUGAACCAAUGUGAGGAUAGAAUUUCACAUAUAGAAGAUAAGAUUGCAAUUAGCAACCAGGAAAAGAAAAAUUGCUUCAAAAUUGUAAAGGAACACAAGAAAUCAAUCCAGCAGCUGCUAGAUGAUGCAAAGAAGAAUAAUAUAAGACUGACUGGAGUCAAUGAAGAAAGAGGAGACAGUGCAGAUGACAUAAAAAAACUGUUCACAGAAGUGAUGGCAGAAAACUUCCUAAGGAGGGGGAAAGAACUUGACAUACAGAUAAGUGAGGCAUAUAGUACUCCAGCUAGCCUUAAUCAAAAAAACAAUCUACACAUAGGCAUAUAAUAGUUAGGAUUCCAGAAAUCCAACAGAAGAACAAAAUUCUACAAGCAGUGAGAGAAAAGAAACAAAUCACAUACAAAGGAAAGCCCAUCAGAAUCACAGCAGACUUCUCAAUGCAAACCCUCAAGGCAAGAAGAGCUUGGAGUGAUGUAUUUCAAGCCCUAAAGGAAAACAGCCUCCAACCCAGAGUGAUGUACCCUGCAAAACUAUCUUUCAAAAUUGAUGGAGAAAUAAGAUACUUUCAUGAUAAAGAGCACCUCAGGAACUUCAUGAAUACCAAACCGGCACUCCAAAAAAUUUUAGACAAUACCCUAGGAAAAGACAAUGAGGAUCACAACCCCAGGAAACCCAGCAGAAUGAAUCCACUGGGCAUGACAAAUUAAACACAAAGUGGGAGAAUCCAACAAAAAGAAAAAGUCAUGACAAGGCUUUUAAAACUUUUAACUUCAUCUCCCUAAUAAGUGUAUAAUUCAAUCUUGUUAUUGUACUGAUUAGUAUUUUUCUGAUUCUAGAGUUGCACACCAUUCCUUGUGCUAUACUGGCUAUUUAUCAUCUUCUUAUGUCUACAUUUUAAUUGGGUUGUCUAUUAAUGAGCUCUAAGAAUUCUUUAUAUAUUCUGGUCAUAGGUUAUAUCUAUUGUAAAUGUGGUCUGUUUAAGGACUACUUUUCAUUUUAAUGAUGUCAUUUAAAGUUCUAAAUUUUGAUGGAAUCUCAUUUAUCAAUUUUUUUCUUUUAUACAUCAUGUUUUUUGUAUCCUAGGUAGUUCUUGCCUACCCUGAAUUCAUAAAUAUUUUCCCUUAUAAUUUCUUCUUAAAGUUUUAUACUCUUAGGCUUCUUAUUUAGGUUCAUAGAUCCCUUCAAGUUAUUUUCAUGUAUGGAAAAAAAGGGUUGAGGUUACUUUUUUAUAUACGGAUACCAGGUGUUCUAGUGCCAUUUGCUGAAAACACUGUCUCUUCCUCAGCUCUUGAUUUGAGUUUAUAUUCUAUAAAAUGCUAAUGUUAAAAAAUCUUUCAAAACUCAUUGGACCAUAUAUGUGUGGUUCUAUUUCUAGAUUCUCUGUUUUUUUCAAAUGAUCUAUAUGUCUUUCCUUACACCAACACUGCCUUGAUUACUGUAGCUUUAGAAGAAGUCUUAAAAUUAGGUACUAAACGUCGUCCAACACUGUUUUUGUUUUUGUUUUUAACUUUUCUAGGUCCUUUGUACUCCUACAUAACUUUUAAAUUUCAACAUCCAAUUCUUUUUUUUUUCAAUAUCCAAUUCUUCAUUUAUAGCAAGUAUACAUAGACCUGAAUUUUUAUAUAUACUUUGUGUUUUUCUUUUUUUUGGUACCGGGAUCGAACUCGGGUCCUUGCGCUUGCGAGGCAGGUGAAAACCACUCAGCUAAAUCCCCAGCCCUACCUUGUGUUUUCUAAUCCUACUAAAUUCAAGUACAAGUUCUAGGGGCUCCUAGAGAUUUCUUAGUAUUUUCUCUAUAGAUGAUCAUUUCAUCUACAUAUAAAGAUUUUGCUUCUGCCAUGCCAAUCCUAUCCUAGUUGUGUCAUUUUAUUGCCAGACUAUUUUGGUGGGGACUAGGUUUCAAAGUUUAAUGGACAGAUAAAGAGUAAGCAUAUCUGCCCUUGUUCCCCACCUUAAGGAGAAAGCAUUGUAUCUUCUCCAUUCAUAUAAGGCGUUCUCACUUGGAAGUAUGGAGUACAUGUCUUUAAUCUGUUGAGAAGUUUCUGUUCUACUUCUAGUCUCCUGAUAGCUUUUACCAUGAACAGCUGUAGAAUUUAGUCCAAUACUUUUUCCCCAACUAGCGACAGGAUCAUAUGGCUUUUUCCUUUCCUCUGUUUAAAUGAUGACUUUUGGGGGUGGAUCUUCCAAUGCUGAACCAACACUGCCAUCCCUAUAACAAAACCACUUUCUACAUCCUGCCAGAUCUGACUUCUAAGAGUUUGUUUUGUUAAACAAAUUUCUAUCUAUGUUCAUACUUUUUUCUUCUAUUAUCUUUAUCCAGUUUUAGGAUUAGCACAAUGUUGAUUUCCUAAAAUGAGGGGAGAAGUGUUCCUUCUUUUUUCUGCUUUAAUUGUUUGAUAUAAUUUAUCAGUUAAAAUGUUUAUGAGCCUGCUGUUGUCAUAUAGGUAGGUUUUCAAGCUAGGAAUAUACUUUCUUUAAUAGGUGC
ensembl:lncRNA